GGCAUGGGCGCCCGCCCACCGGAGGAGCGACUGGAGUUGAUCGGCUGGGCGCUCAGAACCUGGACAACUACCCUCAAUUGGUAACAUAUUUUGGUGAGCCAGCCAGAAGGAUCAAGUCUGUGAUACCUGAAGCCUCAGACCUGGAACCUGAAGUUUCCUUCAGCCACUACACCUGUGAACCUGUGGAAGACCUGAAGUGCCUGUUUAGAAGACAGCCAAAAGAUAAUUUCACUCUUGUUGCCCAGGCUGGAGUGCAAUGGUGUGAUUUCAGCUUACUGAAACCUCCACCUCCUAGGUUCAAGAGAUUCUCCUGCCUCAGCUUCCCGAGUAGCUGGAAUUACAGCUUCAGAUCCAAAUGGUAUGCUAGCAUUCUCUUCCUAGCAGUCCACUGUCAAGACUUCACUGUUAGAAGAAGAAUCACACCAGAAUUAAGGUCAAAUGGAUUAUCUUAUUCUUAAUUGCUGAAAAUCACACCUCAUUGAAAUUUGCUUCAUAACUGAACCAUGAAUUUUUCAUCAAACAUACUUUUGUGUUUCUCCUCCUGGCAUUCUUUAUGAGGAACUUCUUUUUGGAGCUCACUGACUUCCUGUUCUAAUUUGGUCCAGUUAUUUUCUAGAAUUGCUACAUGACUGUCAUCCUGGGACAUCCUUCUGUUGGAAUCUGGGAGAGCUUACAACUUUUCAUAUCCUCUCUUCUUCUUUGUGUUUUUCACCCUGAAGUGUACAAAGUCAAAUGAAUUUCCUAGAAAAA
rnacentral:lncRNA from 1 species